GCCUCGGUAACUCAGCCUGGAUAGAGUGUCAGCCUUCUAAGCUGAAAGUCGCAGGUUCGAAUCCUGUCCGGGGCA
rnacentral:tRNA from 1 species